rnacentral:rRNA from 1 species
CCGGCGCACGGGUGCGUAACGCGUAUGCAAUCUACCCUUUACUGGAGAAUAGCCCGGAGAAAUUCGGAUUAAUGCUCCAUAUGCUCGUAGGAUCUCCUGAUCCAGCGAGGAAAGCUCCGGCGGUAAAGGAUGAGCAUGCGUCCCAUUAGCUUGUUGGUGAGGUAACGGCUCACCAAGGCGACGAUGGGUAGGGGGCCUGAGAGGGCGAUCCCCCACACUGGUACUGAGACACGGACCAGACUCCUACGGGAGGCAGCAGUGAGGAAUAUUGGGCAAUGGAGGCAACUCUGACCCAGCCAUGCCGCGUGCAGGAAGACGGUCCUCUGGAUUGUAAACUGCUUUUAUUAGGGAAUAAACCCUCCUACGUGUAGGAGGCUGAAGGUACCUGAUGAAUAAGCAUCGGCUAACUCCGUGCCAGCAGCCGCGGUAAUACGGAGGAUGCAAGCGUUAUCCGGAUUUAUUGGGUUUAAAGGGUCCGUAGGCGGGUAUUUAAGUCAGUGGUGAAAGCCCACAGCUCAACUGUGGAACUGCCAUUGAUACUGGAUGUCUUGAGUAUAGUAGAAGUAGGCGGAAUAGGGCAUGUAGCGGUGAAAUGCAUAGAUAUGCCCUAGAACACCGAUUGCGAAGGCAGCUUACUAUGUUAUAACUGACGCUGAGGGACGAAAGCGUGGGGAGCAAACAGGAUUAGAUACCCUGGUAGUCCACGCCGUAAACGAUGAUUACUCGCUGCUGGCGAUAUACAGUCAGUGGCCAAGCGAAAGCAUUAAGUAAUCCACCUGGGGAGUACGCCGGCAACGGUGAAACUCAAAGGAAUUGACGGGGGCCCGCACAAGCGGU